CCAGGAUUUUUGGAUAAACAGAAAGUUCAAAAGAACAGCAUUUAUUUGAAAUAUAAAUCUUUUGUAACAUUAUAAAAGUCUUUACUGUCAAUUCUGACCAAUUUAAUGUGUCCUAACUAAAUAAAAGUAUUCAUUUCUCUCAAAAAAGAAAAUCUUACAGAGACCAAACAUUUCAGUGGAACCAUAAAUGUAUAAGAAAACACGUAUCGUGCUCCUCCUACCUCUCUGUCAUUAUGAUUAAACUGGUUCUAAAGACUACAAUGGCAUCUUGAACUUCAAACUGCUACUAGCAUUGACUUGCAUUGCUUUAGACUAUUCUGCUUUGCUGAUGUUGUUCUCGUUGCUAUCUGAGGAAAUAUUUGUUGCCUAAGAAGCAGUUUGAAGGGGUUGCUAGUUUAAAUACCAGCUGGCCUGUAUCCGAAUCUGACUGUUUGACUCUUUCAGCAAAACUAAAGAGCAGCUUGUCUCUGACCCCCUCUCCGUGCUUGGCAGCAUUCACACGCCGGGCAGAUAGAAAGCUGCCAAAUGUGUUUGAGGUGUGGGGUGAUUUGCAUAGGUGAGCACACGUCAGGGCCUCCCAGUGUAAAUGGGCCACUGUGAGCCUCCUCCGCUCGCCACUAGUAAAUCAACACGGAUACAUAUACAAGCAGUCCUCAGAGCAUAGGCUAGGAUCUGGGGUUAAAAUUGCUCUUUCUGUCGUUUGCGUAGCUACAAAUAUCCAUCUGUUUCACACAUUCUAUAGACAGUUUUAUUUAUUAUGUAAUUUCCAGACACUGCUCUAGCUUAACCAGCUCAGAAAAAAAAAGCUUUAACAAUGCUUAUUUUAUUGUUUUGUUUAUGUCCAAGACAGGCAAAUUUGAUUUCCCCAUCUUUACCAACACAGAAAUUCACAUAUCUCCUUUAUCUUAAAAUCCUGAUUUCUUUUUUGAAACCAUUUCCAUAAUAGUCGGUUGCACAACCCAACGGCAACUUCAGACACACCUAAGAGAUAUUUAGACCAAACAACCGUCAGCUGAAACCGAGCUUCACAUGUGGCCGUUAUGGCUCAUCUAUUAACUCAGUCUUCUGGUGGCACGUUUGGAAAUCAGCCACUUCCACUUAAUUCACCUGAGAAGCCCCAGGGGUCUAGUUAACUGGUUUGUCAUUCACUCCCACAUGAAGUAUCUUUUAAAAUACCAGGCAUUGCUUAAAGGAGCAGUUCACACAAAAAUAACAAUUCUGACUUUAUUUACUUGGCCUUAUGUUUACUUAGCAUUGUCUUUUUUUUUUCUUUCCAUGUAACAAAUUUCACUUGAGUCAUUCAUUUUCGUUGAUGUCAUGCGGUCAUUCUGGCCUGACGCAAGCAAUACAACAUGAGGUUGAGUAAAUUACGUCAUUUUAAUUUUGGGUUAAAUAUUCGGGUAUAUAUGCGUAAAAAAUGUAAUUUUGGGAGGACUAGAUUAUGAAAUUAAUAAGUAAUGUAUUAAGUAAGUCAGUUGCUCAGACGUUUUCUUCGUAUCUGUUGCUGAGCAACGGACACGACGACAUCUCCAGGCCAAAUCUUCACGAGCAGAACAACCGCUAGAGGACACCAACACCUCAUUUACAGAGAACUCACUCGCUAUUCUCGCUCAAAAUAAGAAACGGCUCGAUAUUUUGCGGUUUAAGGUGUUUAUACAUACAUAUUCUACUCUCACGAAAGAUAUAGUAAGACGAUGUGCGUCAUUCAGGCAUUGUGCAAUUCGCGCGCAUACCAUUUUUUCACAGAGAACCGAAAAGGUGAUUCUUUGGGACAUGGAUCGGUGAGAUGUAUGUCAGGAGACCAAACGGCACCCUGACUGACAGGAAAGAGAGACUUUAAAGCCGGUAGUGACUUGAGUGACAAGAAACAGCUGAGUGUGUGCGCGCACAUCUGGAGACCCGCAGGGCGUCACACUAGACGUCCAUAUGCUGUAACUCACCGGGCGUCUAAAGUUGCAAAGUGGAGACCAUCAGUGGAGCCAAGAGAGGACCUGGGUGAGGGGGAAUUGGAUUUUGCAGUUGCCGGGCCCUCAUGCUUUUUGAUGCCAAGAAAAGCAACCCAGCUGAACAAAUCAGGAACAUGCCCCCAAAGCUGCAGGGUUCCCCACGGAGACAACCUUUACGCCGCUGAAGUCAGAGGUCGUCCGUUCCAGAGGGAAACAGUGGCGACACCCCAGUGCCUGAGGAGACAGAGGCGUUCAGUAGACUAAUGGGGUCUGACUUCAUCAUUAAGAAGGCCACCUCCACAAGAGGGCAGACUGUUGGAGGUGAUUUCUGUUGAAGAUGUCUAUGUGUGCCAGCGUUCGCAGGUGUGAAGAAGCCAGAGUCUCACUCCUCCAUCUAUAGCCUCAUGAUCAUCCAGAGCUCCAGACAGACUCACAUCCUCCUCAUCAGUGACGCAGAGGACGAUUCAGUCCAGCUUUACUAAAUGCUGCUCGAUUCUGCAAACACAACAACACAAAGUCAUUGUCUAAUUGUGAACAAACAUCAUACAUAAAAUCAAAUAAACAUCUACUUCAGCUAUAGACAAAAUAAAAGUUUUUUUUUUAUGUGUUUACAUUAUGAGUUGAGUUUACAUUAUGCGAGUUAAACAACACAACAUUUGAUCUGACUUAACACAUUAGUUGAAAGCUGAUCUGGAUCAUUUAACAAACCUUUUUUUUUUCUAACAUGGACAAUGACCCAACCUCUGAAGCAACUUUGAGUCCGUUGGUAAUAAAAUAUGGCUUUUAAGGUAAGAACAGAUGUGCAGUUUUUCAUCCGCUCCACCAAGCGGCAUCAUCGGGCUUCAGUUUAGUUUGACAGCUUCGGAUGCUUGACAACAUGACUCUUGAUAACAGUGGCAACAACACGUGCAGACUGAUUUAAGUAUAAAUUCUGCAGAUGACAGCUCAGUUACAGACCUACAUAGCCAGUUAACAGCACACAUUUCAACCCAUAAACAAACCAAACUGACAAACGCUGUGAUAAAGCGCAGGAAUGGAAGAUGUCACGCGACUCACCUAAUAAGGGAUGUUUGGACAGUUACACUCAACCAACAGAAGCAUGUGGACAGACAUUGACUGUAAUGAUGGACAUCUGUUCAUGCACAGAAUGAGUGGUAUCUUGGUUGUAAACUGGUCCGGCUGAAGCAGAGCUCUGGGACGUGUGGACAGACAUUGACUGUAUUGAUGGACAUCUGCUCAUGGACAGCAUAACCGCUGCUGGUCACAGUGCUGGAAGCUCCAGGGGGAGACCGUAAUGAUAUCCCCCUUCUUUGGGCGCGCCUUCACACACACUCCACCAUUCACUCAUAUCGCAGAGACCUGGCUGGGAUUGAACCAGCAACCUCUGAACCGUGAGGCAGCGCUCUUACCUGUGAGCCACAGGUGUAUUGUUGAACCACCAGAAGGAACUUAUAUUUGACUGUUUACCUGUGAUUUCCCAAUAAAGAAGUUAAAGUAAACUGGGUCUGUGAUUUUUGGAGAUGGGUUUUGAACCCAUGUCUCCAUUGCAAGCUCAUGCUCAGAGAAUGUGUGUUUAUCCACUUACCCAUCAUGGAUUCCUCGUUGUUUCUUGGCGUUUGAGUGACUUUGUUGUCUGAGAUCAACGUAAAGUAAGCAGUAGUGGGAUUUGAACUCCGAGCUCCCGGAUUACAAUGCAAAGUUUUAUCUUCUGAGCCACUGAGUCUGUGGAGCUAAAGCACCACAGGAGGACGAAACCAGUUUAAGUUCAUUAGACUCGAUUGUAAUUCACAAAAAUCACCACACGAGGGCGAAACCAGUUUAAGAUCAUUAGACUCGAUUGUAAUUCACAAAAAUCACCACAGGAGGGCGACACCAGUUUAGGAUCAUUAGACUCGAUUGUAAUUCACAAAAAUCACCACAGCAUGUCUUAUGAGUCUGCUCUGAACCGAGUCUAAUGAACGCCCUCCUGUGGUUUUUUUUGUGCAUUGCUAUUUUAGGUCAAUGUUUGUAUAUGAUUUUGUUCUGUCCUCUUCUACUAAAAUAAACUGGUAAGCAAAAAAAAAAAAAAG